rnacentral:lncRNA from 1 species
AAUCUUAGAGGACACUAGCAAAUAGAAUAUUAGAGAAGGACGUUGUUGCUUCUAUUAAUCUUGAGAUUUGAGUGUCUAGUUAGAAAGCACAGGCUAUGUGGUUAGGUUGCAUGUUUAUUACAUGUUUUUGUCCUACUGCUUUUUUCUAACAGGUAAAGAAGCAUUAGGGAGAGUUCAGGAAUGGCUGUAGUUAAUUAGGGCUAACUGGAGUUUAUUUUUAAAAUGCUCACAAUACAGUGUGUGUGGUUCCUUUUAGUUUUUAUUUGGAGGGUGACUUUUACUUCCCUCAUUUAGCUGUGCUUCUUUUCACAGGGAUGCCCGGGUAGUUAAAGAUAUGGCAACUGGAAAGUCCAAAGGCUAUGGUUUUGUAUCUUUUUAUAACAAACUGGAUGCAGAGAAUGCAAUUGUGCAUAUGGGGGGUCAGUGGUUGGGAGGUCGACAAAUCAGAACCAAUUGGGCCACACGUAAACCACCUGCCCCUAAAAGUACACAAGAAACUAACACUAAGCAGUUGAGAUUUGAAGAUGUAGUAAACCAGUCAAGUCCAAAAAACUGCACUGUGUACUGUGGGGGGAUCGCUUCGGGGCUGACAGAUCAACUUAUGAGACAAACAUUUUCACCAUUUGGACAAAUUAUGGAGAUAAGAGUUUUUCCAGAGAAGGGGUAUUCGUUUGUCAGAUUUUCAACUCAUGAAAGUGCAGCCCAUGCUAUUGUUUCUGUGAACGGUACUACA